rnacentral:rRNA from 1 species
GACGAACGCUGGCGGCGUGCUUAAUACAUGCAAGUCGAACGCAGUGGGGACGGGUGAGUAACACGUGGGUAACCUCCCAUCAGACGGGAUAACCCUUGGAUACAGGUGCUAAACCGCUACUGAUGGAUGGACCCGCGGUGCAUUAGCUAGGUGGUGCGGUAACGGCUCACCAAGGCCACGAUGCAUAGCCGACCUGAGAGGUGGAUCGGCCACACUGGGACUGAGACACGGCCCAGACUCCUACGGGAGGAAGCAGUAGGGAAGCGUCUGCAAUGGACGAAAGGCUGACCGAGCAACGCCGCGUGAGGGAAGAAGGUUUUCGGAUCGUAAAACUCUGUUGUUAGAGAAGCGGUAUCUAACCAAAAAGCCACGGCUAACUACGUGCCAGCAGCCGCGGUAAUUC